rnacentral:rRNA from 1 species
UACGGAGGGUGCGAGCGUUGUCCGGAAUCAUUGGGCGUAAAGGGCGCGUAGGUGGCCCGGUCAGUCUUUGGUGAAAGCGCGGGGCUCAACCCUGCGUCGGCCAGGGAUACUGCCGCGGCUCGAGCACUGUAGAGGCAGGCGGAAUUCCGGGUGUAGCGGUGGAAUGCGUAGAGAUCCGGAAGAACACCGGUGGCGAAGGCGGCCUGCUGGGCAGUUUAGCUGACACUGAGGCGCGACAGCGUGAGGAGCAAACAGG